rnacentral:rRNA from 1 species
UACGGGGGGUGCGAGCGUUGUCCGGAAUCACUGGGCGUAAAGGGCGCGUAGGUGGUCUGAUAAGGGUGUGGUGAAAGUCCGGGGCUCAACCCCGGAUCUGCCGUGCCGACUGUCAGACUCGAGGACUGUAGAGGCAGGCGGAAUUCCGGGUGUAGCGGUGGAAUGCGUAGAGAUCCGGAGGAAGACCGGUGGCGAAGGCGGCCUGCUGGGCAGUUACUGACACUGAGGCGCGACAGCGUGGGGGAGCAAACAGG